AGCCUUUUAAUUGCCAAACUUAUUCACUAUAUCAGGGGUGCUGCUUCGGUAGCUAUGGCAAUAAACGGCGCAUUAAGUAAGUAUUGCGGACCUGGGGGCGGUACCCAGCACCUCCACCAUUAAGCCUUUUGGCAUUAUCUUGGUGGCACCACACCAAAGAAACAGAUGUUUUCUUAUGGGGGUGAAAUAGGAUCGACGUGUAUUGAACGGUGUUUUGCCUUUUGCCCAGGAUGGCACCGCUGUGAUGGGCCACCUUAUUAUAAAUGCAAACGACAAUGACGUCGAGUUCGCUGUUGCUGCGUAAGCGGUCACAGUAAACUACAUUUAUGUAAAUUCCUGAGGUUUGACUACUUCAGGUGGGGGUUGGGCCACCUAGCAACAGAACGGCCCGCU
rnacentral:tmRNA from 1 species